GUCAUUUAAAGCUGGAUGAUGAGGUCAUGAUGGAAGAGUCAUUUAAAGCUGGAUGAUGAGGUCAUGAUGGAAGAGUCAUUUAAAGCUGGAUGAAGAGGUCAUGAUGGAAGAGUCAUUUAAAGCUGGAUGAAGAGGUCAUGAUGGAAGAGUCAUUUAAAGCUGGAUGAAGAGGUCAUGAUGGAAGAGUCAUUUAAAGCUGGAUGAUGAGGUCAUGAUGGAAGAGUCAUUUAAAGCUGGAUGAAGAGGUCAUGAUGGAAGAGUCAUUUAAAGCUGGAUGAUGAGGUCAUGAUGGAAGAGUCAUUUAAAGCUGGAUGAUGAGGUCAUGAUGGAAGAGUCAUUUAAAGCUGGAUGAAGAGGUCAUGAUGGAAGAGUCAUUUAAAGCUGGAUGAAGAGGUCAUGAUGGAAGAGUCAUUUAAAGCUGGAUGAUGAGGUCAUGAUGGAAGAGUCAUUUAAAGCUGGAUGAAGAGGUCAUGAUGGAAGAGUCAUUUAAAGCUGGAUGAAGAGGUCAUGAUGGAAGAGUCAUUUAAAGCUGGAUGAAGAGGUCAUGAUGGAAGAGUCAUUUAAAGCUGGAUGAUGAGGUCAUGAUGGAAGAGUCAUUUAAAGCUGGAUGAAGAGGUCAUGAUGGAAGAGUAAUUUAAAGCUGGAUGAAGAGGUCAUGAUGGAAGAGUCAUUUAAAGCUGGAUGAUGAGGUCAUGAUGGAAGAGUCAUUUAAAGCUGGAUGUAAGAGGUCAUGGAUAGACAGUUUUUUGGACAGGAAUCUCCUGAGUGUUUGAAAGAUGAAUGAUGGUAGUUUACCCGACCGCUAAAGACCCAGACUGUUCCUCAAUUCAUCAUGUCUUUAUCUCAUGGAACUACCCUCUAUACUUCUUGGUCUUCAGAGAUUCACUUUCACAGGUGAGAAACAGGCCCAGUGUGGAGCCUGGGACAUGUUUAACACCUCAGUACAGAGUAGCACAGCAACUCAUUCACACCACAGUUCCACUGUGGUAAAACAACUCAUUCACACCAUAGUACCAGAGUGGUAAAACAACUCAUUCGCACUAGAGGUCUUCAUGGGUCCAAAAAGUUGGAGGGGGAUGGGCCGUACUGUGAGUGACAUGGGUAGCAGAGAGGGAGAUAUGUUCCGCUCUACCAGGAGGGGGAUGGGCCGUACUGCAGUGCAU